rnacentral:rRNA from 1 species
CAGCCGCCACGGUAAUACAGAGGUGCCAAGCGUUAGGCGGAAUCACUGGGCGUAAAGCGUGCGCAGGCGGUUGUGUAAGACAGGUGUGAAAUCCCCGGGCUUAACCUGGGAACUGCGCUUGUGACUGCACAGCUAGAGUAUGGCAGAGGGGGGUGGAAUUCCACGUGUAGCAGUGAAAUGCGUAGAGAUGUGGAGGAACGCCGAUGGCGAAGGCAGCCCCCUGGGCCAAUACUGACGCUCAUGCACGAAAGCGUGGGGAGCAAACAGGAUUAGAUACCCCAGUAGUCCCUGUCUCUUAUAC